rnacentral:rRNA from 1 species
UACGAAGGGGGCUAGCGUUGUUCGGAUUUACUGGGCGUAAAGCGCACGUAGGCGGAUUGGUCAGUUAGGGGUGAAAUCCUGGAGCUCAACUCCAGAACUGCCUUUAAUGCUGCCAGUCUCGAGUCCGGAAGAGGUAAGUGGAACUCCUAGUGUAGAGGUGGAAUUCGUAGAUAUUAGGAAGAACACCAGUGGCGAAGGCGGCUUACUGGUCCGGUACUGACGCUGAGGUGCGAAAGCGUGGGGAGCAAACAGG